rnacentral:rRNA from 1 species
CCUACGGGAGGCAGCAGUGGGGAAUUUUCCGCAAUGGGCGAAAGCCUGACGGAGCAAUACCGCGUGAGGGAAGACGGCCUAUGGGUUGUAAACCUCUUUUUUCAGGGAGGAAUCAAUGACGUGUACCUGAAGAAUAAGCAUCGGCUAACUCCGUGCCAGCAGCCGCGGUAAU